CAAAGUUACAGGGUAAGGUAAUAGGACAAAGUCAAAACAAGAUCAGCCUAGGUGCAUUCUAGUCAGGAAAUCUUUCGCUUGCGCAGUAUGAUCGCUUAGUGCUAGGAUCCCUUUCAGUGUUCGAUAGGGAUUAGUGUUUUCUUGCUCAAAAAGCUUACGAUUCCUUGCAUUCCAAAGUUUCCAACACAUUAAGCCAAAGACUACCGUCCGAGAAGGAUUGCUGUGGGUGAGGCUGAGAUUCUGACAAAACCAUUCAUUGAGUGGUUGAUUUGAGAAGUGACUGAAUCUGAGGAGGCACGAUGAGGUUCCAACAUGUAGCAGCCAGCUCACACUUUCUUAGGACAUGAUUCAGGUCCUCUUUCUCUCUUCCACAGAUGCUACAGGUGUCCGAUUCUGCCAUAUGCCAACGGACUCUGACUUCAUUGGUGAGCAAUUUGUUACUCAUAGCAAUUUGGUUGCGUCUACUUCUCUCUGUUGGUGCUUGAUAUGGAUGACGGCUAAGGUUCGGCUAAAGGUCUGCAGCUGUAAUAAUUCUAAUUGGGUUAAGUGUGUACGGAUGCAUGUCACAUUUCCCCAUUGGCCAAAAUAUGUCAAGCUUGUCUUUGGUUGCUCCUGAGUAGAGUCCUGAGUUAUUCCUUGACCUAUCCUUGGUUUGGGGUUGCCGAUUUGAAUCCGCUGCAGGAGUUUAAGCACCCGAGAGCAACACUCCUGUGGCGAAGCAGACCACAUAAAAAAAGUAUGCAAGCGACAACACUAAGAGGAAGAAUUCGGAAGAGUCCUCUGAAUCUGAGGAGGAAGAAAGUGACGACGAUAGCAAAAAGCAGGCGAAUGCUCAGGCAGAAAACAAAAGACGCAGUGGUGGAAAUUAUUCAGGGAAAGGUCGAGGCAAGGCAUCCAAGAAAUCAGCUGCUGAGGAAAAAGGAUCUGGUCGUGGACGUGGUCGUCCUCCUGCGGUGAAGAAGCGUUCUAAAUCUUCUGUAAAGACUAGUACGACAGGAAGACCGCGAAAGUCAUGACGUGGGUUUUUUUAUCAUCAAAACUGGAAAUUUACCGUGUAAUUUAUUUGCCGGUGAACUCGCCAGCUUAACAUUAGAUUAUAGUUAAAAUUUUGCCUCGUAAAUCUUUUACUCUGCAUUUCAUUUUCCAUGGUUCUUGAGCGUGCUUUCUUCUUUUCAAACCUUUAUUAUUCUGGGCUGGUGAAUUAUUUGUUGUUGAAGAAA